rnacentral:rRNA from 1 species
GACGAACGCUGGCGGCGUGCUUAACACAUGCAAGUCGAACGGAAAGGCCCUGCUUUUGUGGGGUGCUCGAGUGGCGAACGGGUGAGUAACACGUGAGUAACCUGCCCUUGACUUUGGGAUAACUUCAGGAAACUGGGGCUAAUACCGGAUAGGAGCUCCUGCUGCAUGGUGGGGGUUGGAAAGUUUCGGCGGUUGGGGAUGGACUCGCGGCUUAUCAGCUUGUUGGUGGGGUAGUGGCUUACCAAGGCUUUGACGGGUAGCCGGCCUGAGAGGGUGACCGGCCACAUUGGGACUGAGAUACGGCCCAGAAUCCUACGGGAGGCAGCAGUGGGGAAUAUUGCACAAUGGGCGGAAGCCUGAUGCAGCAACGACGCGUGCGGGAUGACGGACUUCGGGUUGUAAACCGCUUUCGCCUGUGACGAAGCGUGAGUGACGGUAAUGGGUAAAGAAGCACCGGCUAACUACGUG